rnacentral:rRNA from 1 species
UACAGAGGUCUCAAGCGUUGUUCGGAUUCAUUGGGCGUAAAGGGUGCGUAGGCGGCGCGGUAAGUCGGGUGUGAAAUCUCGGAGCUUAACUCCGAAACUGCAUUCGAUACUGCCGUGCUUGAGGACUGGAGAGGAGACUGGAAUUUACGGUGUAGCGGUGAAAUGCGUAGAUAUUGGGAGGAACACCAGUGGCGAAGGCGGCUCACUGGACCGGUACUGACGCUGAUGCGCGAAAGCGUGGGGAGCAAACGGGG